rnacentral:rRNA from 1 species
GGUGGCAAUGGCGGCGGGGUUCCACCCCUUCCCAUACCGAACAGGGCAGUUAAGCCCGCCAACGCCGAUGGUACUGCGAAAGCGGGAGAGUAGGUAGCCGCC